AGAGUUUGAUCCUGGCUCAGAACGAACGCUGGCGGCGCGUCUUAAGCAUGCAAGUCGAACGGCAAGGCAGGUGCUUGCACCUGCCCUAGAGUGGCGGACUGGUGAGCAACACGUGGGUGACAUGCCUUUUAGUUGGGGAUAGCUACUAGAAAUAGUAGAUAAUACCGAAUGUGAUCAAUAUUUAUAGAUGAUGUUGAGGAAAGGAGCUAAGGCUUCGCUAAAAGAUUGGCCCGCGGCCCAUUAGCUAGUUGGUAGGGUAAAGGCUUACCAAGGCGAUGAUGAGUAUCCGGCCUGAGAGGGUGAUCGGACACAUUGGGACUGAGAUACGGCCCAGACUCCUACGGGAGGCAGCAGCUAAGAAUAUUCCACAAUGGACGAAAGUCUGAUGGAGCGACGCCGCGUGGAUGAUGAAGGCCGAAAGGUUGUAAAAUCCUUUUACACUGGAGGAAUAAGCAGAGUAGGGAAUGACUCUGUGAUGACUGUACAGUUUGAAUAAGCAACGGCUAAUUACGUGCCAGCAGCCGCGGUAACACGUAAGUUGCGAGCGUUGUUCGGAAUUAUUGGGCGUAAAGGGCAUGUAGGCGGAUUUGCAAGCUUGAUGUGAAAUCCCGCAGCUUAACUGCGGAACUGCAUUGAGAACUGCAAGACUAGAGUUACUGAGGGGAAACUAGAAUUCCAAGUGUAGGGGUGAAAUCUGUAGAUAUUUGGAAGAAUACCAAUGGCGAAGGCAAGUUUCUGGCAGAUAACUGACGCUGAGGUGCGAAGGUGCGGGGAGCAAACAGGAUUAGAUACCCUGGUAGUCCGCACAGUAAACGAUGUACACUAGGUGUUUGACCAUGAGGUUGAGUGCCAUAGCUAACGCAAUAAGUUCCCCGCCGGGGGAGUACGGCCGCAAGGCUAAAACUCAAAGGAAUUGACGGGGGCCCGCACAAGCGGCGGAGCAUGCGGAUUAAUUCGAGGCAACGCGAAGAACCUUACCAAGGCUUGACAUACACCGGAAGCCCCCCGAAGUGGGGGUCUCUUUGAUACUGGUGUACAGGUGGUGCAUGGUUGUCGUCAGCUCGUGUCGUGAGAUGUUGGGUUAAGUCCCGCAACGAGCGCAACCCUUGUCCUAUGUUGCCAGCACGUUGUGGUGGGGACUCAUGGGAGACUGCCGGGGUUAACUCGGAGGAAGGUGGGGAGGACGUCAAAUCAUCAUGCCCCCCAUGUCUUGGGCUUCACGCAUGCUACAAUGGCCGGUACAGAGGGUUGCGAUACUGUGAGGUGGAGCGAAUCCCUUAAAGCCGGUCUCAGUUCGGAUCGAAGUCUGCAACUCGACUUCGUGAAGGUGGAGUCGCUAGUAAUCGCAGAUCAGCAUCGCUGCGGUGAAUAAAAUCUCGGGCCUUGUACACACCGCCCGUCAA
rnacentral:rRNA from 1 species